UACGGAGGGAGCUAGCGUUGUUCGGAAUUACUGGGCGUAAAGCGCACGUAGGCGGCUUUCUAAGUCGGGGGUGAAAUCCUGGAGCUCAACUCCAGAACUGCCUUCGAUACUGGAGCUUGAGUCCGGGAGAGGUGAGUGGAACUGCGAGUGUAGAGGUGAAAUUCGUAGAUAUUCGCAAGAACACCAGUGGCGAAGGCGGCUCACUGGCCCGGUACUGACGCUGAGGUGCGAAAGCGUGGGGAGCAA
rnacentral:rRNA from 1 species